AAUCGAACUCGGAGAUAGCUGGUUCUCCCCGAAAUAGCUUUAGGGCUAGCCUCAUAUUAGAUACCCGGAGGUAAAGCACUGAAUGGCCUAGCGCCCGAGAGGGUAGCGAAGCCUAUCAAACUAAGAAUGCCGGAGUAUUGAUGUAUGGGAGUCAGACAGUGUGAGAUAAAUCUCAUUGUCAAAAGGGAAACAGCCCAGAUCUACAGCUAAGGUCCCAAAUUGUAUCUAAGUGGAAAACGAUGUGGAAAUACGCAGACAACCAGGAUGUUGGCUCAGAAGCAGCCACUCAUUUAAAGAGUGCGUAAUAGCUCACUGGUCGAGCGUCUCUGCGCGGAAAAUUUAACGGGGCUAAGAUACAAACCGAAGCUUAGGCUGCACGUAAGUGCGGGGUAGGGGAGCGUUGUGUAAGCGGAGAAACAGUAGCGUAAGCGGCUGUGGAGUUUACAGAAGUGAGAAUGCCGGAAUGAGUAGCGCGAAUGUGGUGAGAAUCCACAUGGCCGGAAACCUCAGGUUUUUGGAGGAAGGUUCGUCCGCUCCAAGUUAGGCGGGAGCUAAGGUCAGGCCGAAAGGCGUAGCCGAUGCACAGACGGUAGAGAUUCCGUCCCCACCGAAAGAUUUAAGCACAGGGACACUUUUUGAAGGUCGGAGCCAGGUGUUGGUUCUGGUAGUGAUCGAGGGAAAUAUAGUACCGAAGUCCGGCUGGAAGAGAGGCGAGAAAAGCUGUGUGUAUAUCUAAGGUGCCCGUACCGCAAACCGACACAGGUAGGUAGGAAGAAGAUUCUAAGGCCAACGGGAGAAGGGUUGUUAAGGAACUCGGCAAGUUGACCCCGUAACUUCGGAAUAAGGGGUGCUCACGAGAGUGAGCCGCAGAGAAUAGGCCCAGGCAACUGUUUACCAAAAACACAGGUUUGUGCUAAAUCGAAAGAUGACGUAUACGAGCUGACGCCUGCCCGGUGCUGGAAGGUUAAAAGGAGAUGUGCAAGCAUUGAAUUGAAGCCCCAGUGAACGGCGGCCGUAACUAUAACGGUCCUAAGGUAGCGAAAUUCCUUGUCAGGUAAGUUCUGACCCGCAUGAAAGGCGUAAUGAUCUGGGCACUGUCUCAACAGCCCGCCCGGCGAAAUUGUAGUACCGGUGAAGAUGCCGGUUACCCGCGACAAGACGGAAAGACCCCAUGGAGCUUUACUGUAGCCUGAUAUUGGGUUUCGGUGUUGCAUGCACAGGAUAGAUGGGACGCUGGGAAAGAAGCGCUUUGGCGUUUCUGGAGCGGACGUUGGGAUACCAUCCUUGCGACAUUGGAAUUCUAACCUGCGCCUCUGAAUCGAGGCGGGGGACAUUGUCAGGUGGGCAGUUUGACUGGGGCGGUCGCCUCCUAAAAAGUAGCGGAGGCGUUCAAAGGUUCGUUCGAUCUGGACGGAAACCAGAUGAUUGAGUGCAAACGCAUAAACGAGCCUGACUGCGAGACUGACGGGUCGAGCAGAGACGAAAGUCGGAGUUAGUGAUCCGGUGGUAUGUGAGUGGAAAUGCCAUCGCUCAACGGAUAAAAGCUACCCUGGGGAUAACAGGCUGAUCUCCCCCAAGAGUCCACAUCGACGGGGAGGUUUGGCACCUCGAUGUCGGCUCAUCGCAUCCUGGGGCUGAAUUCGGUCCCAAGGGUUUGGCUGUUCGCCAAUUAAAGCGGUACGCGAGCUGGGUUCAGAACGUCGUGAGACAGUUCGGUCCCUAUCUGUCGUGGGCGCAGGAUAUUUGAAAGGCGCUGUCCCUAGUACGAGAGGACCGGGAUGGACGAACCUCUGGUGCACCAGUUGUCACGCCAGUGGCACAGCUGGGCAGCUAUGUUCGGAUCGGAUAAACGCUGAAAGCAUCUAAGCGUGAAGCCGGCCUUAAGAUAAGAUAUCCCACUGAGUCAAUCAGGUAAGACCCCUUGAAGACUACAAGGUUGAUAGGCACACAGUGUAAGCGGAGUGAUCCGUUCAGCUAGCGUGUACUAAUAGGUCGAGGGCUUGACCCC
rnacentral:rRNA from 1 species